rnacentral:lncRNA from 1 species
UUAUUUUAUAGUAGAUAUAUAUUUGUCUAAAAAAUGGAAACAAUAUAUAUCUAUAAAACAUAAAAUAAAUCAUUAACAAAGUUAAGGCACAAUGUAACAGUCACAAGCGGUCAAAUAACAAUUAUAAUUCUAUGUAUAUAAAACUCUACUUAAAAAUGUAAAAAAGACAUAACACACAUUACUCUAUUCUAAGACCCCAAAAAAUACUUAUUAUGCAAAACAUGAAAAACAAAUCCAACAAAACUUUUGAUUAUCAUUAUUGAAUACCUUACCAAUCAUGCUUGUAGUUAAUACUGAUUUAUUUAUUAUCCUUAUUUCCUCUCUCCAAAUUAUCAAAUGAUAUGAACUAAUUUCUUUGAAGAGAAAUAAAUUUUUCUACAUUGUCUAGGGCCAAUCCAUCUUCGCUAGUCAAGGGUUACGAUCCACUCCCAUUCUCUUUACGAGAGAACGGGAGUGGAUCAUAACCCUUGGCUAGUGAAGAUGGGGCCAAUCACCAUUAUUGUCCUAAGCAUUAUUUAAUUGGAAUUAACAUGUAGUAGGCAACUUCAUUAAAGUUCAAAAGUACAUGUAUGAUACAAGAAAUGAAAAAAACUUAGAUAUUUAAAACAACUGUAUUCACUGGUACAGUGGUAUCAGCGCUGUUGGCAUGAACAUCAUUUUUUACAAAAUUAAUUUAUUUACACAAUUUUUUGUUUUUUUUAAUUUUUGCACAAAUAUCUAUUAAAUUAAGAAUUUAUUAAUAACUUCAUUAAAAUUAAGGCACAGAAAAGAUAUUUAUUCUUGUUAUAACAGAAGUUGUUAUACAAUAUACAUGACAUUGUAUAUUAAAAGAUCACAGGACAUUUAACAUGAAAGACUUUUUUGUAAUCUACCUCAGUUAUAGAAAAACUGUUGAAAUCAACAUCUUAGGGUAUACAAUUUAUUCUUCAAAAUCUGGUCUUAUGCUCUCUACUAACAGAAAGCAAGAAGACAAAUUCAAUCAAGAAAAAGGUCUAAGCUACCAGCAAUAGAUAAAAAUCAAAUAAAAUAACUAGAGUUAUCUCCCAUUCUUUACAUGAGAAAUUUACAUUAAUCAACCAAUAAAAUGGUCCAUAGCUGAGAAUAUAUACCUGCUGAAAGGGUAGGGGUUUUCGGAAGCAGUCUUCUGGAUUUUUAAAUUUCUACUCCUAAUAAGGAUAACUGAAUUUCCAGUGUGGCCUUG